AACCAGAUAAAGAGUUUUGUAUAGGGCUUAUACAAAGAACAAACUAAUUAACUCAAGAAGGGAUCCUGUGGAUAAUCACCACCCUUGGAGUCGAGAGCUGGAUGCAACUAUUAAUGACUUAUUUAAAAUUGUCCGCUGUGAGGUAACCCUUCACCUUUUGCACAUUUCCAGACAUUAUUGUUAAGUUGGUUGUCAACCACUUAGUAGGACAAUAGAACAUGGUUAUGUAUAUCCAAUGAGGAUCUGGUGGGGAAGGUACAUAUAUGGGCCC
rnacentral:lncRNA from 1 species